ACUCUGUGCAACCAUAAGUUUACGUGACCAACUUUAAUUGUACGUAUUAUUUAAUUUUUUUUAUAAUUAGUAUUUUUGUUGUUAUGAGAUAAUAAAACAUGAAUAAUACUUUAUGUGUGACUUAUGUUUUAAAGUAUUUUCAAAAAAAAUUUAAAUAAGAAGGACAAUUAAAAUUGAGCACGGAAAAACAUGGCUGCACUUAAU
rfam:Oryza sativa (indica cultivar-group) chromosome 6, whole genome shotgun sequence.